ensembl:misc_RNA Vault Vault RNA
GGGCUGGCUUUAGCCCAGCAGUUUCUUGAGUCUGGCUUCCCAACCGCCCGGGGCCGAUUAGUCCGGUGGUUCGAGACCCACGGGCGCUCUCCAGUCCUUUA